CGACGAUAAAGCGGUCAGAUCGGAGUUAAUGUCUGCGUGGCUUUUCUACGACGGUGACAACUGAGGAACACCAAGUUGCUGAAGUUACACCGUGGUCGCUUCAUUUCUGCUGGACAGGCAAACUGUAAAGGAGGAGGAGUAGGCAAGCCCAGCUGACUCGACAGCGGAUGGAGGUGCGGCGGCUGAUGAGGUGCAGGUGUGGACGGUCAGCUGGGCUCAGGAGCGGAGAGAGAGAGGAAGAGAGGGAGAGCACACGCAGGGGAGGAGACACAGGGAGGAAGGCAAGGUAGCUACAUGAAAACAGUGGAACAAACAAAAUGAGAAAUAAAGAGGACACUCAC